GCCAUGAUGCGAUCCAUCAUGCUACGAUGGAUUGAUUUGUUAUAAUCUUUUAACCGCCUUCUCAUCGUGCUACGAUGAUCAUCCAUCGUGGUGCGAUGAAUUCUUCAAUUUCUCCUUUUUUGCCCUUUUUUUUAUGCAUUAUCCACUUUUCUUGCUUCUUGGUCAAGUAACUUCGUAUCUUUAGGAUUUGAUCUUCAAUUACUACUAAAACUACUCUAAAAUAGUACUAAAAACAUCAUAUAAUUGACUAUCAUCACAUCACUAUGGGGGCUAGAAAAAAGGUAAACUUGUAUAUAUAACAUGCAACUUGAAGAGAAGGGAGACAUUUAGAAAGAGAAAAAUGGUUAGAAAUUAAUUUUUUCUUAUUUUCAAUCGAGCAUGUUUAUCUUAAUCUUACACAUUUUAUUGUUAUAAAAUGAUAAAUACGGUGUAAUUUUUUUAGAAUAAUCGAUCAUUUGUCAUAUUAGUCAGAAAAUGAACAAUGUUUGGUGGAAUGGGCAAAACCUUACUUAAAACCUAGAGUAUGGUUUUAUUAGUUGGUGGAUCCAAAACUUUAAGGUCAAUACUCAGCAAAAGGAGCAUACAAAGCAAUGAUAUUAGUUACACUUUGUUUUUGUCGUGGCCAAAAAUCAAGACCGUUAAUGAGUGAAGUUGCUAAAAUGUCUUAACAACUUCACUCAUUGACGGUCUUGGUUUUUGGUUGUGGCAAAGACAAAGUGUAACUAACUUCAUUGCUUUGUGUGCUCCUUUUGUUGAGUAUUGACCUUCAAGUUUUGGAUCCAUCGGGUGAUAAAACCCUACUCUAGGUUUAAGUAAGGAUUUGUCCAUUCAACCAAAUAUUGUUCUUUUUUGACUAAUAUGAUAACUGAAAUAUGACAAAUGAUCGAUUAUUGUAAAAAAAAUUAUACCGUAUUUAUCAUUUUAUAACAAUAAAAUAUGUAAGACUAAUAUAAACAUGCUCGAUUGAAAAUAAGGAAAAACUAUUUUCUAACCAUUUUUUUCUUUCUAAACGUCUCUCUUCUCUUCAAAUUGCAUGUUAUAUGUACAAGUUUAACCAUUUUUUUAACCCCCUAGUGAUGAUAAAAAAAUAGAAUGAAAAUUCUUAAAAUGAUUUUCAUUAUGUUUUUCUUCAUAUUCCAAAAGUAAAACAAGCGGUUAAGAAAGCCAUGCGUCAUAUUAGUCAGAAAAUGAACAAUGUUUGGUGGAAUGGGCAAAACCUUACUUAAAACCUAGAGUAAGGUUUUAUCAGU
rnacentral:lncRNA from 1 species